rnacentral:rRNA from 1 species
GACAGAGGGUGCAAACGUUGUUCGGAAUUACUGGGCGUAAAGCGCGUGUAGGCGGCUGCGCAAGUCGGAUGUGAAAUCCCAUGGCUCAACCAUGGAAGUGCACCCGAAACUGCGUAGCUAGAGUCUCGGAGAGGAAGAUGGAAUGCUUGGUGUAGAGGUGAAAUUCGUAGAUAUCAAGCGGAACACCGGUGGCGAAGGCGGUCUUCUGGACGAUGACUGACGCUGAGACGCGAAAGCGUGGGGAGCAAACAGG